rnacentral:rRNA from 1 species
UACGUAGGGUGCAAGCGUUGUCCGGAAUUAUUGGGCGUAAAGAGCUCGUAGGUGGCCUGUCGCGUCGGCUGUGAAAACUCGGGGCUCAACUCCGAGCUUGCAGUCGAUACGGGCAGGCUAGAGUUCGGCAGGGGAGACUGGAAUUCCUGGUGUAGCGGUGAAAUGCGCAGAUAUCAGGAGGAACACCGGUGGCGAAGGCGGGUCUCUGGGCCGAACAUC